AUCCCCAGCUGGGUUGAAAGGAACGUCAAGACCCUUCCUUUCUUACGACCUAUGUAUCAACUCCCUUCUACCUUGCCUCCCUCCACUUGGAGCCAGUUCUAGCUGGUGAAAUGUAGCCAGAGGUUCCUGGAAAGCCUUUCCUUCUCAAGUAAAGCCUGGCUCAGAGAAAACCACUGGUCUCUUUCCUUUUCUUCCUCCUGACAUGAACAUGCGGCAGGAAGGAGCAUGGAGAAGACGAGAACAAGGCUCUCAGAAGGAACUGGUGUGGCUGGAGCCAUAAGAACUCGUUGUGGAGGAGGCAAAUACAAUUUCUGACUUACAUAAUGAUGUAUGCACAAGAAGCCUCUCCUUGAAUGUAUUAAUUCAGCAAACAGUUAUGGAGUCCUUACAAUGUGCUAGUGGAACUUUGAAGAUGAACCCAAAUUUGGAUCCUGGCCUGAAAAGGCUCAAAGCCUAAUAUGGGGGCCUGGAUCCAAAUGUGAAACUUAUCUUCUUUUAUUAACCAGUCAACCACCUCCUGCCAAAACAACAACAGCAACAACAACAGAAAAAACAAAAACAAAAACAAAAAAAAAACUCUGCAUACACAAGACCUUUGUUUCUACAAGAGACUUGGCUAAAGGUUUGGGCACGCAUAGCCCCAAAAUUAAAAAUGGAAAAUUGAA